rnacentral:rRNA from 1 species
ACCGGUUAAGAUGUCGAUUUGGAGGUUGUGCCCUUGAGGCGUGGCUUCCGAAGCUAACGCGUUAAAUCGACCGCCUGGGGAGUACGGCCGCAAGGUUAAAACUCAAAUGAAUUGACGGGGGCCCGCACAAGCGGUGGAGCAUGUGGUUUAAUUCGAUGCAACGCGAAGAACCUUACCUACUCUUGACAUCCAGCGAAUCCUGUAGAGAUACGGGAGUGCCUUCGGGAACGCUGAGACAGGUGCUGCAUGGCUGUCGUCAGCUCGUGUUGUGAAAUGUUGGGUUAAGUCCCGCAACGAGCGCAACCCUUAUCCUUUGUUGCCAGCGGUUCGGCCGGGAACUCAAAGGAGACUGCCAGUGAUAAACUGGAGGAAGGUGGGGAUGACGUCAAGUCAUCAUGGCCCUUACGAGUAGGGCUACACACGUGCUACAAUGGCGUAUACAAAGAGAAGCGAACUCGCGAGAGCAAGCGGACCUCAUAAAGUACGUCGUAGUCCGGAUUGGAGUCUGCAACUCGACUCCAUGAAGUCGGAAUCGCUAGUAAUCGUGGAUCAGAAUGCCACGGUGAAUACGUUCCCGGGCCUUGUACACACCGCCCGUCACACCAUGGGAGUGGGUUGCAAAAGAAGUAGGUAGCUUAAC